GUAAUGAGUCGCUCCACCGCGGCGCCUUCAGGCGACGAGGAAAGUCCGGGCAACACAGAGCACCCUGCUUCCUAACGGGAAGGACGGAGAAGCGUAAAGUAACUUCGGACAGCCAGUGCCACAGAAAAUUACCGCCAGGCGGUGAAAUGGUGAGUGGUGAGAUGGUGAGUCAUGUUCAACCUGCGCAAGCAGAACAACAAACUCAUCCUUUCACCAUUUCACCAUCUCACCAUUUGGUAAGGGUGAAAAGGUGCGGUAAGAGCGCACCAGCGGCUGGGCAACCAUGCCGGCUGGGUAAACCUCAGGGGUUGAAAGACCAAAUAAGCGGAUACGCUUCGGCCUUCGGGCCGGGGCACCGGGCGGCUCGUCCGGCGUCCGUGGGUAGGUUGAUGGAGCCUUUCCGCGAGGACUGGCCUAGAUAAAUGGUGGAGGCGCGGCAACGCGUACAAAACCCGGCUUACAGACUCAUUACCAGC
rnacentral:RNase_P_RNA from 1 species